CGUGUAGGCGGGAAUACAAGUCAGAUGUGAAAUACCGUAGCUUAACUACGGGGCUGCAUCUGAAACUGUGUUUCUUGAGUGUCGGAGAGGAAAGUGGAAUUCCCAGUGUAGCGGUGAAAUGCGUAGAUAUUGGGAGGAACACCAGUGGCGAAGGCGACUUUCUGGACGAUAACUGACGCUGAGGCGCGAAAGCGUGGGGAGCAAACAGGAUUAGAUACCCCGGUAGUCCACGCUGUAAACGAUGGAUACUAGGUGUAGGAGGUAUCGACCCCUUCUGUGCCGGAGUUAACACAAUAAGUAUCCCACCUGGGGAGUACGGCCGCAAGGUUGAA
rnacentral:rRNA from 1 species